AGUCGAACGGAAAGGCCCUGCUUGCAGGGUACUCGAGUGGCGAACGGGUGAGUAACACGUGGGUGAUCUGCCCUGCACUUCGGGAUAAGCCUGGGAAACUGGGUCUAAUACCGGAUAGGAGCCAUUUUUAGUGUGAUGGUUGGAAAGUUUUUUCGGUGUAGGAUGAGCUCGCGGCCUAUCAGCUUGUUGGUGGGGUAAUGGCCUACCAAGGCGGCGACGGGUAGCCGGCCUGAGAGGGUGGACGGCCACAUUGGGACUGAGAUACGGCCCAGACUCCUACGGGAGGCAGCAGUGGGGAAUAUUGCACAAUGGGCGCAAGCCUGAUGCAGCGACGCCGCGUGGGGGAUGACGGCCUUCGGGUUGUAAACUCCUUUCGCUAGGGACGAAGCUUUUUGUGACGGUACCUAGAUAAGAAGCACCGGCUAACUACGUGCCAGCAGCCGCGGUAAUACGUAGGGUGCGAGCGUUGUCCGGAAUUACUGGGCGUAAAGGGCUCGUAGGUGGUUUGUCGCGUCGUCUGUGAAAUUCCGGGGCUUAACUCCGGGCGUGCAGGCGAUACGGGCAUAACUUGAGUACUGUAGGGGUAACUGGAAUUCCUGGUGUAGCGGUGAAAUGCGCAGAUAUCAGGAGGAACACCGAUGGCGAAGGCAGGUUACUGGGCAGUUA
rnacentral:rRNA from 1 species